GGGGAGGCAGAGGGUUUUGGUUCAAUGCUCCAAACCUUUCGAUUCUGGGUUUGUUACAUUUUACUUUUGCAGUCCUUCUUUCGGCUUCUCAUUCGAGUAUAAUUCAACAACAACCCAAACCCCGUAAAGAUUCAUAUUGUUGAUAGACAUAUUUUGUGCUACUAUACAUUGGGAGACAGCCCACCGUCAAUCUUAGGUAGUCGGGUACAAGCAGCAUGCGCAGCUGGCCUAAUGUGAUUAACUUAAAGCAAGAUGGAUGCAGAUUUCAGCAACACUUUUUUGCAUCGUUGGCCUACCGAUUGACCGUGAUACUGUAUAUUCAAAGGGUCUUAAGGGUACGAUUCGUCCAAGCUAUUCAUGUAGAAAAUCGGUACCCACUCAUGCAAGUUAGUUACUGAUCGAGAGUCCAAGGUGUAUGGGCGGUUAGUGCUGAGUCUGCUGACCAAGAUUCCUAAUUUGUUUCCUUCCAUGGUCUCCUCCUCUGUUGAAGAACCACUUUAUCGAAUUAAAGGAUGCACAUGUUUAGGAAAUGAAGAUGGCCCUUUAAAUUACAUGAGUCGCCACCCAAAUUACCAGUUUGGAUGUGUGAAUUAAAUCGAAGUUGCGGGAAAUGAAGAUGUCUCCUUAUAUUACAUUAGUCACCAUUGAAGUUACCAGCCUAGAUGUGGGCAUGCUCCAUGGAUAGUUUUGAAUGUUACAAAGAUGGUCUUCCAGUUUACAUGGAUUCCCUAUAGGAUCUUUCAGACAACUGUCUACUAGACUCUCAAUUAGCUGUUCGAUGGAGAUGAAUGGAAACCAUGGCCAACUUGAAUACGAGUUGCUCCAAGGAAGUCAGAAUCUUAGAUGUGGUCUAUACCAACAAAGUUUCUACCAGAGAGUUUAAUAAUUUUUUCUUGCAGGGUUUGUGAAUUCGUCCAACAAUACGACGAGAGUUUAAAACACAGAACUCAGUAUAGUUUAUUUUUGAUUCAGUUGCUUGAUUGUUAUCUGAAACUGAUCAUUCAUUCUGGUAUCCAAAACAUCCAACACUGUG